UACGGGGGGAGCAAGCGUUGUUCGGAUUUACUGGGCGUAAAGGGCGCGUAGGCGGUCACUACACGUCAGUUGUGAAAUCUCUGGGCUUAACUCAGAACGGUCAACUGAUACUGUCGGACUAGAGUGCAGAAGGGGCAACUGGAAUUCUCGGUGUAGCGGUGAAAUGCGUAGAUAUCGAGAGGAACACCUGCGGCGAAGGCGGGUUGCUGGGCUGACACUGACGCUGAGGCGCGAAAGCUAGGGGAGCGAACGGG
rnacentral:rRNA from 1 species